UACGACUACAUAUCAGGCAUAUCAAUAAGCGGAGGAAAAGAAACUAACUAGGAUUCCCUCAGUAACGGCGAGUGAAGCGGGAAGAGCUCAAAUUUGAAAUCUUCAAGGUUUUACCUUGACGAAUUGUAGUUUAAAGAAGUGUUUUCUGUUGGUGUUUUGGUAAAAGUUCUUUGGAAUAGGACAUCAUAGAGGGUGAGAAUCCCGUAUUUGACCGUUAUUUUCCAGCUGUGUGAUACACUUUCAAAGAGUCGGAUUGUUUGGGAAUGCAGUCCAAAAUGGGUGGUAAAUUUCAUCUAAAGCUAAAUAUUGGCGAGAGACCGAUAGCGAACAAGUACCGUGAGGGAAAGAUGAAAAGAACUUUGAAAAGAGAGUUAAACAGUACGUGAAAUUGUCAAAAGGGAAGCGUUUGACACCAGUGUUGUUUAGUUGAAAAUCAAUUAAAUAGUUUUCGAUUUUAAGUAGUAUUGACCUUAUCAGCUUGCUGCUUUCUUCUCGGAAAUUAUUUAAUGCACUUUUCAGUUAACAAGGUCAACAUCAAUUUCUUUUGUUGUAAAAAGGGUAAGAGGAAGGUGGCUUUCACUUCGGGCUGCAAAGUGUUUUAUAGCCUUUUAGGCUUCUGCAAUCGGAGAGAUUGAGGUCUGCAGGCGUAGAUCCUUCGGGGUUAGAUACAGUUAGAUGCUAAGCUUAUAGCCUUUUUCAUAGACAACUUGUUGACUAUGCUUCAGUCAUGUAGCUUACUCGCUUAUGCUUAUUUUACCUACGCUUAGGAUGUUGACGCGCGUGUGUGCGUG
rnacentral:rRNA from 1 species